rnacentral:rRNA from 1 species
GACGAACGCUGGCGGCGUGCUUAACACAUGCAAGUCGAACGAGGCCCAUUCAGUAGCAAUACUGAUGAAGGCCUAGUGGCGAACGGGUGAGUAACACGUGAGAAACCUAUCCUGGUCUCUGGGAUAACAGUCGGAAACAACUGCUAAUACCGGAUGCCGUCGGAGCGCUGCAUGGCGCACUGACGAAAGGGUUACUGGAUCAGGAGGGUCUCGCGGCCUAUCAGCUUGUUGGUGGGGUAAUGGCCUACCAAGGCAUCGACGGGUAGCUGGUCUGAGAGGAUGAUCAGCCACACUGGGACUGAGACACGGCCCAGACUCCUACGGGAGGCAGCAGUGGGGAAUCUUGCGCAAUGGGCGAAAGCCUGACGCAGCAACGCCGCGUGCGGGAAGAAGGCCUUCGGGUUGUAAACCGCUUUCAGAAGGAACGAAACUGACGGUACUUUCAGAAGAAGGUGCGGCCAACUACGUGC